rnacentral:rRNA from 1 species
AACGAACGCUGGCGGCGUGUUUAAGACAUGCAAGUUGAACGGGGAAUCUUUGGAGCUUGCUUUGAGGAUUCCUAGUGGCGCACGGGUGAGUAACACGUGAGUAACAUGCCUCGUAGAGGGGAAUAGCCCGCCGAAAAGGCGGAUUAAUACCCCAUGGUCCCGCAAGGGUAAAGUGGCUUCGGCUGCCGCUACGAGAUUGGCUCGCGUCCUAUCAGCUUGUUGGUGAGGUAACGGCUCACCAAGGCAACGACGGGUAGCUGGUCUGAGAGGACGAUCAGUCACACUGGAACUGAGACACGGUCCAGACACCUACGGUGGCAGCAGUCGAGAAUAAUUCACAAUGGGGGAAACCCUGAAUGGUGCAACGCCGCGUGGAGGAUGAAGGUCUUCGGAUUGUAAACUCCUGUCAUUUUUGAGAGUAAAGACCUGGCGGUUAAUAGCCGACAGGGUU